AGGGAAUCGACAACUGCCACAAAGGCCCCAGGAGUGUCAACAGGUUAGACAGAAGAAAAUGCCUGAAUCCAAGCCACUGAGCAACCCUCUAGCAGGCAAGUGUCACCCCAGAAGGAAGAGAGAGGACGAGGAACUUACAUGUACAGGGUUCCACUUCCCGGCCUUCCAGGAUGGCAGGAGGAAGAGAACAGACAAUAGAGUCAUUGGGCAUCAUCAUCAACAAAGCCAACAGAGAAACUUUUCUUUAAAAAGAAGAACCAAUGGGAAGAAAGUAUUUCAGUUUGUGUUUCAAGGUGGUUUUUGGAAGAAAUAGCACUGAUUUUGAUGAAAUCAGAAACAAGUGAUUU